CCUAUCAAUGAUGUCCUUUCUCCUUUCUUGUUAUUCCCAAAAUUAUUGUAUUUCAAUCCAUUGAAGUGAAAAGAGAUUCUUGGUUCUUGUUUUUUCUCAAACUUACUGUGUGCUCUUCCCAUUUCAAAACACCUAUGAACCAUCUCUUUUUGACCUUUAUGCUUGUUCUUAACUUUAUUUUUUCCUCAUUUGUAUUCUCACAUAAGAGCAUCUAACAAUGCCUUUAUAUAUUUUCCUCAAGUCAUGCUUUAUCACUAUUGGAGUUUCAACAAAUUCUCACAUAAGAAUGGCCACUAUUGGGUGGGGGUGAGAUAUAGAACAAUUAAAGAUUGGUUGAAUAAACUAGAGUGCUCCUAAAGGCAUAGACAUUAAAGACUGAAAACUUUAACAGUGGAUAGUCAAAAGUCCAAAACAAUUUCAGCAAACCAGUCCUAAUUGACAAUUUUUUCGGUAAGCUAUUUCUGACACAUAGCUCUUUAAGAAAUUAGCAAUGAUAGAGGAAUAUCACAGAGGCAUUAACAAUACCAUUUCUAAAAGAAGUAGCAUAAGCCAAUAGAGGAAAUAGAUCAAAAAUGGUUGUCAAUUCCCUUUGGAAGUUCCCUUUUGUUACAAGUCCAGUCAUAAAUUUCUCAAAUGGCACCAAACAACCCACAAGGAACAUAUAUUAUCUACUAUAGGAACCUAAUCAAAGUACAAUAAAGCGUGAAGUCAUGGACACUGUCAGUGUUCCCAACAUUCUAAAGUCUACAAUUGUUCUCAUUAAAAAGGGGAUGUUGCACGGCAAAUGCAUAGGACACCAUUCUAUAUUUCAAUAGAAAUUGACAAAGGUAUAGUCCUCAUAAAGACUUUAAAGUUCAAACCCAGCUAAAAAACAAUAGACAGAGUAACAAACCCAAAUAAAUUAAAUUAUGUUGCACUAUUAAUAAUCACUUCAUUCAAGCACAUAACACAAAAUUCCCAAAAUCAAAUAAUUGAAACAAGAAACUGAACCCAAAAAAAAAAAAAA